CAGCCGCCGCGGGAAUACGUAGGGUGCAAGCGUUAAUCGGAAUUACUGGGCGUAAAGCGCACGCAGGCGGUUUGUUAAGUCAGAUGUGAAAUCCCCGAGCUUAACUUGGGAACUGCAUUUGAAACUGGCAAGCUAGAGUCUUGUAGAGGGGGGUAGAAUUCCAGGUGUAGCGGUGAAAUGCGUAGAGAUCUGGAGGAAUACCGGUGGUGAAGGCGGCCCCCUGGACAAAGACUGACGCUCAGGUGCGAAAGCGUGGGGAGCAAACAGGAUUAGAUACCCGUGUAGUCCCUGUCUCUUAUAA
rnacentral:rRNA from 1 species